rnacentral:tRNA from 1 species
GCCAGUGUGGUGUAGCGGUUUGAGCAUUGGACUACACCUCUGGAGAUCAGGAUUCGAUUCCCUGCUCAGCCA